rnacentral:misc_RNA from 1 species
GGUGCCAAAAUGGCGGUUGGAAGGUAGUCGCAACUCACAACAUCAUUGGAUUUUCCUGGAAGAAGUCUGAAAGUUUCUGGAAAUCAUCCCGCUUUAGCCUGCUCCCAUGGCCGCUAUCAUCAAUCCCCUCCAACUCCUCUUUUGGCUAUCGAGCUCUUUGAUUCUCCAUACAUCUAGCUCUUAUCCAGGUUCUUCUAGUUCCAUUAUUGACCCUGCUAAAGUCAAACAGGUUUCAUGGAAGCCAAGGGCAUUUGUGUACGAAGGUUUUCUUACGGACUUGGAAUGCGAUCACCUGAUCUCUCUGGCGAAAUCAGAGCUGAAGAGAUCAGCAGUGGCGGAUAAUGUUAGUGGAAAGAGUAAGCUCAGCCAAGUUCGAACCAGUUCUGGGAUGUUUAUCUCUAAAGGAAAGGAUCCAAUCGUUGCAGGUAUAGAGGACAAAAUUGCAACAUGGACCUUUCUUCCAAAAGAAAAUGGGGAAGACAUUCAAGUUUUAAGAUAUGAGCAUGGGCAAAAAUAUGAUCCACACUAUGAUUACUUUGUUGACAAGGUUAAUAUUGCUCGUGGUGGACAUCGCUCGGCAACUGUGCUCAUGUAUCUUACUGAUGUGGUAAAAGGCGGAGAAACUGUGUUUCCCUCUGCAGAGGUUUUCACUAAUUCCUCCCUUUUUUUUUUCCAAUACACAAUUGCAUUGUUUCAUAUGUAGUUUCAGCUUCUUUUCCUUUCCUAAAAUCAGUGUUUCACAGUGGGUGAGCAAUUUGGUAUAGUUUCCUUAUUUGGUAUUCUCUCCAAGGGCUUCCUAGGUUCAUCAGUGUGUAUGACCGUGUUGAUAGAUCUGUUUGACAAGCUGUAUCAUUAUGUUUGCUCUACCUUAUAAUCAUUUAUAAACAUAUGUUGACUCAGAAACCAUUGAAAACAGUCCACAACUAGAAUUAUCUCAGGAUUUGAAAACUUUUGAGUGUGAAUAUUUGGCUUGACUUUUCAAAUAGCCAGUUAAUGAUCAAACUGGAGAUGGUACUUGUGGGUUGGGGUGAGGAGGGGGAGGAGGUAUUAAAUACUAGGUUGUUUCCUGUAGUUAGACUAGAGGGGACAUCUUUUAAUAUAACAAACAAUUUGAAACAGGAACCUCCUCGACGAAAAGCUACUGUAAGUGAUGAAGAACUCUCUGAAUGUGCAAAGAAAGGAAUUGCAGGUUAGCUACUUUUGACAGAUUACAAAUGCUUUUAUUAAAUUUGCAUUCUCUCAGUUGCAAAAUGCCCAGAGUUAACGUGUUUUUGGGGUCUUCUUAUCCUGUCUUUGGAAACUCUUAGUGAAACCACGAAGAGGUGAUGCCCUUCUUUUCUUUAGUCUCCAUCCUAACGCCAUUCCAGACCCAAGCAGUCUUCAUGCUGGAUGCCCAGUGAUUGAAGGUGAGAAAUGGUCUGCCACAAAGUGGAUUCAUGUGGACUCAUUUAGCAAGAACUUGGAAGCUGGUGGGAACUGCACAGAUCUGAAUGAGGGUUGUGAUAGGUGGGCUGCCCUUGGGGAAUGCACCAAAAACCCAGAGUACAUGGUAGGGUCUCCAGACCUUCCUGGAUACUGUAGGAGGAGUUGCAAGGUAUGCUAGAAUAUUACCAUAUGCUUUCCACACGGAUCAUCCUUUGUAGGUUUACAUUGCACUAAAAGAUGAUUUCUGUUUUGGGGGAUUGUAUUUAUUAAAUAUUUGUUUUUAAAAUUGACAAUCUCUUAAACAUUGCUGACUUCUGUAUUUUGUAUCUUGCAUUUUAACCCAGUUGUAAUAAAUCUUUUUUAAAAUGGUUUUUGAAGUUG